rnacentral:rRNA from 1 species
GACGAACGCUGGCGGCGUGCCUAAUACAUGCAAGUCGAGCGGACGGAUGGGAGCUUGCUCCCAGACCGUCAGCGGCGGACGGGUGAGUAACACGUGGGCAACCUGCCUGUAAGACUGGGAUAACUCCGGGAAACCGGGGCUAAUACCGGAUAACUCUUUCCCUCACAUGAGGGAAAGCUGAAAGAUGGCAUCUCGCUAUCACUUACAGAUGGGCCCGCGGCGCAUUAGCUAGUUGGUGAGGUAACGGCUCACCAAGGCGACGAUGCGUAGCCGACCUGAGAGGGUGAUCGGCCACACUGGGACUGGGACACGGCCCAGACUCCUACGGGAGGCAGCAGUAGGGAAUCUUCCGCAAUGGACGGAAGUCUGACGGAGCAACACCGCGUGAGUGAUGAAGGUGUUCGGAUCGUAAAACUCUGUUGUCAGGGAAGAACAAGUACCGGAGUAACUGCCGGUACCUUGACGGUACCUGACCAGAAAGCCACGGCUAACUACGUG